rnacentral:rRNA from 1 species
CCCCUAGAUGUUCUGGGCCGCACGCGCGCUACACUGAACAGUUCAACAAGUCUUAACCUUGGCCGAUAGGUCUGGGUAAUCUUUGAACGCUGUUCGUGAUUGGGAUAGACCUUUGCAAUUAUGGGUCUUCAACGAGGAAUUCCUAGUAAACGCAAGUCAUCAGCUUGCAUUGAUUACGUCCCUGCCCUUUGUACACACCGCCCGUCGCUACUACCGAUUGAACGUUUUAGUGAGGUACUCGGACUGAGCCUCAGAAGAUUCACGUCUUUUGUGCUGCUCGGGAAGAUUCCCAAACUUGNGNGUUUAGNGGAAGUAAAANUCGUANCA